UACGGAGGGUGCAAGCAUUAAUCGGAUUUAUUGGGCGUAAAGGACGCGUAGGCGGUGCGAUAAGUCGGGUGUGAAAUCCCGGGGCUCAACCCCGGAACAGCACUUGAAACUGUCGCUCUAGAGGGUAGGCGGAGAAAACGGAAUUCCACAAGUAGCGGUGAAAUGCGUAGAUAUGUGGAAGAACACCUGUGGCGAAAGCGGUUUUCUAGCUUAUUCCUGACGCUGAGGCGUGAAAGCAAGGGGAGCAAACAGG
rnacentral:rRNA from 1 species